UCUCUCAUUUCCAACCUCUCUCUUCCUUCUCUGGCUCUUCUCUUCUUCAUCCAUUCCGCGAGCUCCAACCCGAACUCGUCUGCUCGAAACUCCAGCGAUGGCAUCACGAAGCCGACUCUAACUGUCUCUCUAGUCAUGGUUAUGUCGGGAUUCUUGCUGGGUAUUGGCAGCAGCUUCUCUAGUAACAGUCGGGUUCCAAGUAGGAAACUCGGUGAUCUUCGCCAAUGGCGGUCUUGGCCUUCUUGAUGAGCCGAUUCACGACUUUGCUGGGGGCGGUUGUCUUUUUCUUCUCAUUCUUCUGCUAUAAGUAUUGAGUUUAGAAGUAGGUUCUUCAAGGGUUCAAUAUACUCUAAACCUAAAUCGAGGCCAUCGGGGACAUCCAUGAAUUCCAAAGUGUUGGUAGCAGAGCCUGAAGACAAGCAUUCUUUUGGGUCUGUCGCGAAUUGGGUUUUGCCGGUGACACAGCAGGAUGGAGACGGAGAAUGAUCUCGCCCACUCAAGUUAGGGUUAGGGUUUGGGUUUGUGGGUUUUGAGGAGGAAGAAGAAGAGGGUUUCUCACUGAUUUCUGCGACAUGCGUGCUGAGUCUUGAAGCAGGGGAACCCAAGAAUGAAGGUGAAAGAGGAAUGUGAAGAAAUGAUUUGUUCAUCUUUUUGUCUAUACUGCUUCCUAUUCCCCGCCUUUCUCUCUGUCUUUCCCUCACACCAUCCGAGUGAUUUCGAACUCUCAGUUCGACCGAGGUAUCGGUUUCGUUCUUCUUCAGUCUAGUGGUUAAAGGAAAACAGAUAGGUGCUCCGAAAAAUAAAAGGGUUUUCGGUUUCUGCAGAUAAGAUUCUUUCCUCUUUUUUUUUUUUUUUUGUUUGAUAUUUGGUGCAUGUGAUUGUGGACUGAAUAUUGGGAUCCUGGUUUGUGAUGAUUCCGAAUGCUGUUGUGUGUUGGUGACGUUAGGAUUAGGGUUCCAUUUUCAAGGUCAGGGAGAAUGAUGAGUGGACUCGUCUCCACCCCGUGAGUGGUGCCAGGUGAGUUGGGAGCUUAGGUGACUCACUUCGAGUGACUUAGAGUUAGCCACGUGACUGUCACGUGUGAGAGAUUUGAGCUUUUGAGUGGUUUUUGAAGCUGGCCUGGUUAGUUAAAAAAAUGGGUAAUGGGCUUAUUUUAAAAACUGGAUUAGUAGACCGAGUUUUAAAAGACAAAUGGGUUUGUUUGUUGUUUGUUUUUUUUUUUUAAUAUAGGCUCGGGGUUUUUUAAAAUUGGGAAUGGACUGGUUUAAAAAAACUUAGCGGGCUGGGAUUUUUUUUUUUAAAAGAUGGUGGGCUGGGCCAUUUCAAAGACACGGGCCUAAGUUCUUUUAAUCAGAUUGGACUUUUAUUAUGAACUUGAACCCGGGCCUGAUUUUACAAAACGGACUUCCUCCCUUUUAUUAAAUAGUUAAUGGGCCUGGGGCUCGUGUAGUUUGAAAAAUGGGCUUUAGGCUACAAUUUUAAAAAAUGGGCUUUGGGUUAACAUCAGUGGGCUUCGGGUUUGAUUUUAAAAUAGAUUGGUGGGUUGGACUUGGAAAGUUAAGAUAGACUGGUUGUUUUGAAUUUGAAAAUUGGGCUUCAGAUUAGAAGUUAGAAAAGGGGUGCGGGUUAAGAUGGGUUGAUUUUGAAAAUACGGGCCUGGGAGAUUUACUGCGUGGCAAUGGGGAUGUUCACGAAGGUGAGGACUCGAAAUUAAAAUCGUGUCCAAGGGAGUGGAGAUUAAGUGGAAUCCAAACCAGCUCAGGUUUGGGUCUGCGUUUGAAACUUAGGAACAGAGGGGGUACCUGCACGCACACACACACACACAGUAACAUCACAUGAGUUGAACAAAGGGAUACAUAAUUAUACCUUUCUCUUCUCCUCCUCCGGUCUUCUCUCCUGGUAUGUUUGUGUCUGACUCUCUGAUCUGCUACUGAAUGUUGCUUAGAUUUUUGAUGUUGAAUUGUUGCUCUGUAUUCUGAGUCUUCCCCUGAACCUCUAAAUCCCUCUCCAGUUCUGCAAAGUCUCCCCUCUAAUUCUUUCCCUCUCACUUUCUGCAGUAUUUCUCUAUACUCUCUUCUUUCUAAUUUCUCUCAAAUUCUGCAGAGUGUUACUGUGCUCUCCUUAUUUUCCCAGCAUUUCUUUAUGCUCUCUCUCUCCCCCCCCCCCCCCCCCCCCCCCCCCCCCCCCCCCCCAAAAAAAAAAAAUGCCCUUUGUAGUGUGCGAGCCUCCCUAUUUAUAGGGAGGCGGGGUGACCUUCUUGGCGCCAAAAUCCCUCUUCUGCUAACCGAUUUCCCCCACCAACAAACUUGGCAAGGAAUAAUUCCCUUUAACCACUCCCACGUGUGAUUCAACUUUUUGAUUUUUAUUUUAUUUUUUGAAUUUUCUGCUAAUAGAUUGAUUCAGUGGCUUUUCUAUGCAUAGGGCUUUGAGGGAGAACAUUCCAAGUGGCAGCUUGGUAGUGGAGGUCUUAGCAUCUUCAUUUUCAUUGAAUUUUGUAUAAAUAUUUUCUAUUUUAUUGUAUUUUGUCAUUUUCUGUAAGAAUGUAUCCCCAGGUUGCUCCUCCUGCAACCAUUAUUUGUGUGCUCUUGUAUUUGGUGUUUUUUUAUAUUUAUUUUUGGGAUGUAUGUCAUGUUAA